rnacentral:hammerhead_ribozyme from 1 species
AUCCAGAUGAGGAGUUUCAAAUAAGACGAAAUGCACAUCCUUAUGGAU